UUAACUCAUUGCCAUAGAGAGAACAGAGCAUCUUGUGAAAAAAAUGGUGCUAUUGUUCCGUUGCGGGCAUAGAACAAAUCGAUUCCUUUCUCUCGUAUUUUCGAUCUGUAAGUUUGAUUCUUCGUUAAACAGCUUGCAGUUUCGAGGAGGAAGGAUUAUCUACAUUCGUUUUGUUUUUGCUGUUCUUAAUCUGGUAUUUGAAGGCCGAUCCAAUGGGUUCUCAGACGUGAAAUUCGAAUACUCGAGAACUCAAUUUCACCCGGCCGAGAUUUGCUUUGGGGUACCCUCAAGGUUUUGCAUGUUCUCAAUCAUAUGCAUGCAAAACCUUCUGCAUGUUCUCAAUCAUAUGUUUGAACUACCCUAAAUUUCUUCUCUUCAAACAUAUGCAUGCGUUCUUUCUUUCUUUUCUUCCCAUUAGGUUUGAAUAUUUUAGUAUGAGAUUUAUCUCGGUAGAUACAUUCUGCAGCCUGUUCUUUAGUAGAUUAGUAGAGUUUAAAUGAAAUAGAAAUAGAUUUUAAAUACAUGAAAAAAGUAAAUAUACAGCAGCCGUCGGCCGUAGUCUGGCCGGCGACUGGAAGGAGAGGCGUGGAAGACUUGCCAAAUUGCACCAUCUUCGCUGGAUUUUUGGGGAAUUUGUGAGCUUGGAUGUGUUAACGGCAGAUGAGAGAGCGAGCUCGGGAUUUUUAGUGAAGAACGACGCUGGAAUUUGAGAAAGCAAAGCCAUGCUCAUAGCUAGUGUGCAAACGAAUAAUGUUAUAAAAAUUAUACUGUGAUUCAUAAAGUUAUGAAAAUGAUCUCAUGGGCCUCCUUUUUUUCAGCCAAUCAGGAAUUUGGGACUCCACAACCAAGCUACUCCCAAAUGCUGUUCGAGAAAUCACAUCAGCAGCCAUUUCUUGUAGAUAAGGCAUUACGUCUAACUCACACGACCCGCUCUCGAAGACCAUGCUUUCCCAUUUGCUAACCAUGUCGUAGCAGCUAUGAUAGAAUGCUGGUACCAUAACCUGUAAGCCAAUUUAAGGUAUGUAUGUUCCAUCUUAAAAUAUUCACUGUACAAUAUGAUUCCAAGUAUUGAUGAUAGAAUAUUUGGUAGUCAUGCACAAGUAUUCAACAACUUUUUCUGUGAUAAGAUACCUUAAGCUUUUCUAAAUGAAAUGCAGGAUUGAUUAUCUUUCUGUGUUUCACCCAUUUUUCUCCUUCAUGGUUUAUAAGUCCAUUUGUAAGCAGCUUGAGAAGGGGAUACAUAACUGGCUUUUGGAUAUCAUUGAUCAAU